rnacentral:rRNA from 1 species
GGUGCAUGGUUGUCGUCAGCUCGUGUCGUGAGAUGUUGGGUUAAGUCCCGCAACGAGCGCAACCCUCGCCUCUAGUUGCCAGCAUUCGGUUGGGCACUCUAGAGGGACUGCCGGCGACAAGUCGGAGAAGGUGGGGAUGACGUCAAAUCAUCAUGCCCCUUAUGACCUGGGCUACACACGUGCUACAAUGGGCGGUACGAAAGGGCUGCGAACCCGCGAGGGGGAGCGAAUCCCAAAAAGCCGCUCUCAGUUCGGAUUGCAGGCUGCAACUCGCCUGCAUGAAGCCGGAAUCGCUAGUAAUCGCGGAUCAGCACGCCGCGGUGAAUACGUUCCCGGGCCUU